rnacentral:rRNA from 1 species
UGGUGGAGUGAUUUGUCUGGUUAAUUCCGUUAACGAACGAGACCUCGACCUGCUAAAUAGUUAGGCAUAUUCUCGGAUAUGUAAUUUCUAACUUCUUAGAGGGACUAUCGGUGCGUAGCCGAUGGAAGUUCGAGGCAAUAACA